rnacentral:rRNA from 1 species
UACGGGGGGAGCAAGCGUUGUUCGGAUUUACUGGGCGUAAAGGGCGCGUAGGCGGCCUCUGCAAGUCGACUGUGAAAUCUCCGGGCUUAACCCGGAACGGUCAGCCGAUACUGCAGGGCUAGAGUGCAGAAGGGGCAACUGGAAUUCUCGGUGUAGCGGUGAAAUGCGUAGAUAUCGAGAGGAACACCUGCGGCGAAGGCGGGUUGCUGGGCUGACACUGACGCUGAGGCGCGAAAGCCAGGGGAGCGAACGGG